rnacentral:rRNA from 1 species
CGCGUAGGCGGAUCGUUAAGUCAGAGGUGAAAUCCCAGGGCUCAACCCUGGAACUGCCCUUGAUAUUGGCGAUCUUGAGUAUGAGAGAGGUAUGUGGAACUCCGAGUGUAGAGGUGAAAUUCGUAGAUAUUCGGAAGAACACCAGUGGCGAAGGCGACAUACUGGCUCAUUACUGACGCUGAGGCGCGAAGCGUGGGAGCAAACA